rnacentral:lncRNA from 1 species
CGCACCCGCGCGAUCCCGGGCCCCUCGGCCGCCUCGCCCGCGGCCCCCGCCCCUUCCCCGGCAGUCGGCUCCCUCUCCCCCCUCCUAGCCCCUCCCCGAAGCCGCGGUCCCUCCGAAAUGGCCCGGCCCGAGGCCCCGACCCGGCGCGGGGCUGCGGACGGGCUGGGCGGUGCGUCCGGCGACUCGCACAGGAAAGCGGACGGCGAAGGGAGGGAGCCUGGGAGAGGGGGAUGGGAGAAGGGAGGAAGAGGGAGAAGGAGGGAGCGCGGAGGAACGGAGGAGAGAGGGGCCAGGAGGGAGACGCGAGGGAGGGAGCGCGAGGAAUGCUGGAGAGAGAGAAGUCCAGAGGAAACGUCAGUGAGGAGAGAGAGGAGGGAACGCGUGAGGAACCUUAAGAAGGGAUGAACGAG